AGAACGAACGCUGGCGGCAUGCCUAACACAUGCAAGUCGAACGAUCUCUUCGGAGAUAGUGGCGCACGGGUGCGUAACGCGUGGGAAUCUGCCCUUGGGUUCGGAAUAGCAGUUGGAAACGACUGCUAAUACCGGAUGAUGACGUUAAGUCCAAAGAUUUAUCGCCCAGGGAUGAGCCCGCGUAGGAUUAGCUAGUUGGUGAGGUAAAGGCUCACCAAGGCGACGAUCCUUAGCUGGUCUGAGAGGAUGAUCAGCCACACUGGGACUGACGACACCGGCCCAGACCU
rnacentral:rRNA from 1 species